CCUACGGGAGGCAGCAGUGAGGAAUAUUGGUCAAUGGGCGGGAGCCUGAACCAGCCAAGUCGCGUGAGGGAAGACGGUCCUAUGGAUUGUAAACCUCUUUAGGAGGGGAGCAAUGCCGGGCACGCGUGCCCGGAGGGAGAGUACCCGCAGAAUAAGCAUCGGCUAACUCCGUGCCAGCAGCCGCGGGAAUACGGAGGAUGCGAGCGUUAUACGGAUGUAUUGGGGUAAAGGGGUGCGUAGGCGGAUUUUUAAGUCAGCGGUAAAAUGUCCGGGCUCAACCCGGGCCGGCCGUUGAAACGGGGGAUCUUGAGUGGGCGAGAAGUAUGCGGAAUGCGUGGUGUAGCGGUGAAAUGCAUAGAUAUCACGCAGAACCCCGAUUGCGAAGGCAGCAUACCGGCGCCCGACUGACGCUGAGGCACGAAAGCGUGGGGAUCGAACAGGAUUAGAUACCCCAGUAGUC
rnacentral:rRNA from 1 species